GCUGGGCGUGGUGGUGCGUGCCUGUAGUCCCAGCUACUCAGGAGGCUGAGGCAGGAGAAUUGCUUGAACCCAGGAGGCAGAGGUUGUAGUGAGCCCAGAUCGUGCCACUGCACUCCAGCCUGGGUGACAGAGCGAGACUCAGUCUCAA
rnacentral:sRNA from 1 species